UCUCGCCCCAGUCAGGAGGUACAAACAUUUCUUAACUUGUGUUCCUGAUUCCAUGCCGGAGGCUGUGCUCGCCGGAGACGCUGGAGCGGCGCGAGGUAGGCGGGUCGCGAAGACGCCUCCGAGGACCCACGAGGCCGUUGGGGACCGUCGGCAACUCAUCGACUCCCUCCCCCAACUGUCAUGGCGGCGCUCACAGCUUCAUCAACUGAGUUCUCUCUCGCGCGCGAUUUCCUUAAGCAAGAAGCCCUUUUGUAACCCGGUGGCCGGGGCCCUCCUUGAAGCCGAGUUAUAAUAAAGGCAAUUACCUCACGAAAUUACCUUACGAAAACAAAGUUACUCUCUUGUAAUUCUGUCCUAUCGUGCCGCGCUGGACUUAAGUCUGCUUUACGAGGCACACGGAGGCUGUCUGCUCGCCUCCAUUAGGCUGCUGGAUAACGCCUGGCCAAAUACAUUAAUAAGUAUUAGCAGAGACUGAUCGAGGACGCGGAGAAAGAGACGUGGGGAGGAGCAGAGAUAUGAUAAUCUGCUCCCCCACAGCAGGUGAGUGAGCGAGUGAGUCAGUGAUUGAGUGAAAACAUUCUGAAAAGAGAGAAAGAGAUAAGAAAGAAAAAAAAAAGAGAAACAUGAGGCAAAAAAGAGACUCUGAGUGAUGAAUGAA